rnacentral:rRNA from 1 species
AUACGUAGGGGGCAAGCGUUGUCCGGAAUUAUUGGGCGUAAAGGGUGCGUAGGCGGCCCUUUAAGUCAGAUGUGAAAGCCCACGGCUUAACCGUGGGACUGCAUUUGAAACUGGAGGGCUUGAGUGUCGGAGAGGGCAGUGGAAUUCCCAGUGUAGCGGUGGAAUGCGUAGAUAUUGGGAGGAACACCAGUGGCGAAGGCGACUGCCUGGACGAUAACUGACGCUGAGGCGCGAAAGCUAGGGGAGCAAACAGGAUUAGAUACCCUGGUAGUCCUAGCCGUAAACGAUGGGUACUAGGUGUAGGAGGUUUCGAUACCUUCUGUGCCGCAGUUAACGCAAUAAGUACCCCGCCUGGGGAGUACGUGCGCAAGCAUGAA